rnacentral:rRNA from 1 species
UACGAAGGGGGCUAGCGUUGCUCGGAAUCACUGGGCGUAAGGGCGCGUAGGCGGGAUGGCAAGUCAGUCGUGAAAUCUCUCGGCUCAACCGAGAAACGUCGGGCUGAUACUGCCGUUCUUGAGGGAUGCAGAGGAGACUGGAAUUCCCGGUGUAGCGGUGAAAUGUGUAGAGAUCGGGAGGAACACCGGUGGCGAAGGCGGGUCUCUGGGCAUUCCUGACGCUGAGGCGCGAAAGCGUGGGGAGCAAACGGG